AACGAACGCUGGCGGCAGGCUUAACACAUGCAAGUCGAACGAGACCCUCUCCUCGGAGGGGUGUUCUAGUGGCGAACGGGUGAGUAACACGUGGGCAACCUGCCCCCGGCUCUGGGAUACCCCCAGGAAAUUGGGGCUAAAACCGGAUAGGACCGCGGGCCGCAUGGUCUGGUGGUGGAAAGAUUUUUCGGCUGGGGGUGGGCCGGCGGCCUAUCAGCUUGUUGGUGGGGUAGUGGCCUACCAAGGCGACGACGGGUAGCCGGCAUGGGAGGGUGACCGGCCACACUGGGACUGAGACACGGCCCAGACGCCUACGGGAGGCAGCAGUGGGGAAUAUUGCGCAAUGGGCGGAAGCCUGACGCAGCGACGCCGGGUGGGGGAUGACGGCCUUCGGGUUGUAAACCUCUUCCAGCAGGGACGAAGCGCAAGUGACGGUACCUGCAGAAGAAGCACCGGCCAACUACGUGCCAGCCGCCGCAGUAACAC
rnacentral:rRNA from 1 species